CUGAAUACAUUAGCAUGGGAUAAUAAAAAUAGGAUCUUCACAAUAUAUUUUAUUGGUUUAAAUUGGAUAUGAAGAUAAUGAUUAAUAGGGACAGUUGGGGGUAUUCAUAUUGGGUGGUUAGCGGUGAAAUGCUCGGAUCCAUUCAAGAUGAACUAAAGCGAAAGCAUUUACCAAGGAUGUUUUCAUUAAUCAAGAACGAAAGUUAAGGGAUCGAAGACGAUUAGAUACCGUCGUAGUCUUAACUAUAAACUAUGCCGACCAGGGAUAUGAGUUGUUAGGAAUAUGCGAAAGUAUAUUCAAUUUCUUCUUAUGAACCUUGUGAGAAAAUCAUAAGUUUUUGGGGUUCUGGGGGGGAGUAUGGUCGCAGGGCUGAACUAAAGGAAUUGACGGAGGGGC
rnacentral:rRNA from 1 species